rnacentral:rRNA from 1 species
UAGCGUAGGGGGCAAGCGUUGUCCGGAUUUAUUGGGCGUAAAGAGCGUGUAGGCGGUCAGGUAGGUCCGUUGUGAAACUCGAGGCUCAACCUCGAGACGCCGAUGGAAACCAUCUGACUAGAGUCCGGAAGAGGAGAGUGGAAUUCCUGGUGUAGCGGUGAAAUGCGCAGAUAUCGAGGAAGAACACCCGUGGCUAAGGCGGCUCACUGGCCCGGUACUGACGCUGAGGUGCGAAAGCGUGGGGAGCAAACAGG